rnacentral:rRNA from 1 species
GACAGAGGUGCCGAGCGUUAGGCGGAAUCACUGGGCUUAAAGCGUGUGUAGGCGGGCCGUUAAGUGUCUUGUGAAAUCCCCCGGCUCAACCGGGGAAUUGCUGGGCAUACUGGCGGUCUUGAGCAAUCUAGGGGCAGAUGGAACAAGUGGUGGAGCGGUGAAAUGCGUAGAUAUCACUUGGAACGCCAAAGGUGAAGACAGUCUGCUGGGGAUUUGCUGACGCUGAGACGCGAAAGCCAGGGGAGCGAACGGG